ACGUUCCGGCGCUGUAGGAUGUGGCUGCGGCCGAUUAGGUAGAUGGUGGGGUAACGGCCCACCAUGCCGAUAAUCGGUACAGGUUGUGGAGCAAGAGCCUGGAGACGGUAUCUGAGACAAGAUACCGGGCCCUACGGGGCGCAGCAGGCGCGAAACCUUUACACUGCACGACAGUGCGAUAGGGGGACUCCGAGUGUGAGGGCAUAUAGCCCUCGCUUUUCUGAACCGUAAGGUGGUACAGGAACAAGGACUGGGCAAGACCGGUGCCAGCCGCCGCGGUAAUACCGGCAGUCCGAGUGAUGGCCGAUAUUAUUGGGCCUAA
rnacentral:rRNA from 1 species